AUUUGCCUUAGCACUUUUGUCUACAAUAGUACCUGCGCAAACGGUGAAACGACAGCCAUAUUUUUUCAUAAUAUUUGCUGCUACAUACGCUAUAACACUACGCUACUGUUGUGUUGAAUCAGUCGAGCAACGUGCUUGCUUCACUCAACGUUUCUAAUUUCUUUUAGGUUAUUAUUAAUUUUUUUUUUACUUGUAUAAUGACGAAAAUUGUUAUAAAUAAAUUUAAAUUGUUAAAUUAAACAAUAAAAAAAUUAUAGAGUUAGUACUAAUCUCUUGGCUUACUGAGAACGAAACUAUGUGUUUGUGGCCACCAAAAAAAGAUGAAGACAAAAGGUGAAUAAAUGGGUUGAACUUGAAAUCGUGCCUUUCAUGACAUGGUUAAAAUAACCAAUCAGAUUAUCAGCUAAGCUAAGGAUUAUAAUCAAGGAUCACGCCGAUUAAAAAAUCCUUUAAAACAAAUGAUGUUGAGAGCACUGAGAGUGAAUCUAUGAUUGAUCUAAAUACUGAGCCUAUGCUCUUGUAGUAAUUCCUUCCAACGACAAUUUAGAAGGAACCUGAUAAGAGCGAUGAAGCUGCGUGUGAAAGUAUAAUGGAACCUAAAGGCAUCACAAACUACCUACGAACAUCUUGCGAAAUAUUUGCAGCG
rnacentral:misc_RNA from 1 species